rnacentral:pre_miRNA from 1 species
ACUAUACUUCCUCCGUUCGAAAUUACUUGUCACAAAAAUGAAUGUAUCUACAACUAAAAUACAUCUAGAUACAUUCAUUUCUUGGACGAGUAAUUCCAAACGGAGGGAGUAUAUU